rnacentral:rRNA from 1 species
AUUGAACGCUGGCGGCAGGCUUAACACAUGCAAGUCGAGCGAGGGGCGGACGGGUGAGUAAUGUAUGGGGACUGCCCGAUAGCGGGGGAUAACUACUGGAAACGGUGGCUAAUACCGCAUACUAUCGGAUAACCCAUAUGGGAUUAGCUAGUUGGUGGGGUAAAGGCUCACCAAGGCGACGAUCCCUAGCUGGUUUGAGAGGAUGACCAGCCACACUGGGACUGAGACAGGGCCCAGACGCCUACGGAGGCAGCAGUGGGGAAUUUUGCACAAUGGGCGCAACCCUGAUCCAGCCAUACCGCGUGUAUGAAGAAGUCCUUAGGGUUGUAAAGUACUUUCGGCGGGGAUGCGUUACCCGCAGAAUAAGCACCGGCUAACUCCGUGCCAGCAGCCGCGGUAAUUC